GCUGGCAUGGCAUAGUGAUUUGAAUGUUAGACUGCAACUUUGGAGACCAGGGUUCAAUUCCCUACUUGGGCA